rnacentral:rRNA from 1 species
AGUGAACGCUGGCGGUAGGCCUAACACAUGCAAGUCGAACGGCAGCACAGUAAGAGCUUGCUCUUACGGGUGGCGAGUGGCGGACGGGUGAGGAAUACAUCGGAAUCUACUUUUUCGUGGGGGAUAACGUAGGGAAACUUACGCUAAUACCGCAUACGACCUACGGGUGAAAGCAGGGGAUCUUCGGACCUUGCGCGAUUGAAUGAGCCGAAGUCGGAUUAGCUAGUUGGCGGGGUAAAGGCCCACCAAGGCGACGAUCCGUAGCUGGCCUGAGAGGAUGAUCAGCCACACUGGAACUGAGACACGGUCCAGACUCCUACGGGAGGCAGCAGUGGGGAAUAUUGGACAAUGGGCGCAAGCCUGAUCCAGCCAUACCGCGUGGGUGAAGAAGGCCUUCGGGUUGUAAAGCCCUUUUGUUGGGAAAGAAAAGCAGCAGGUUAAUACCCCGCUGUUCUGACGGUACCCAAAGAAUAAGCACCGGCUAACUUCGUG